AUUUAAAAUUUUCUUUUAAAGAUGCAGUUUACGUGAAGAAUGUGCUGGUAUUUCUCAAGAAACAAUUGAUUGGCUAUCCUAUAAACAUGACAAAUGUAUAACAAUAACCAAAAUUCAUCCAGAAAGUAUCCAAAGUACAACUGCUCGAGUACUUUCUCUAACAGUUAAUAAUCUUCCCGUGUCAGAAGAUAAAUUAUUCUGUGCAUUCAAAGUUAUAGAUCGAACUAUAAUACGAACUAUAAUAACGAAUGCUACAAGAACAGCUUCUGGUGUUACGUGUGCAACUCCAAACACAUUUUUUAUUCCGCCUAUUCCAUCUGGUCAUCAUAAUCUCAGAUCUAGGCUGUAUAUCGUAGAU